rnacentral:lncRNA from 1 species
GUCAGACUCCGCCUCCCGAGACCACGCCUCGCCGAGUCCCGGAUGUGCUCCAGGAAGGGAUAGGGCAUCUUUCACCCUGAAGUCACGGGAACAACGCUGAGGGGCAGCCAGAGAUUAUGUGGGCUUUUCCAUGGGAAGAACCACUCUACGUUAUCACCUUCUACAUAAGACAAAGGCUCGCUCUAUCGCCCAGGCUGGAGUGUGGUUGGCCCUGCAGACAGCUAUGAUUCUCUAGUUAACCUAUUUGGAUUGAAUCAAUUAAAC